rnacentral:lncRNA from 1 species
GAAAUCAGAAAAGUGAAAUUGAAUUACCAUUUACAACUGAUGCCGAUCCUAAAAUGUAUAAAAUCGAACUUGUGAACAAUUUCAAUUCAAUUAUAUAUCCAUAAGGAAUGGAUAGAGUUAUAAAUUUGAUUUGUUCAUGCGAAUACAUCGAGUUCAGAGUCACCAAACAGAAAUGAAAAUCCGUAAGAUACAGAUAAAAGUUUUACAGAAUAUGGCGCAUCCCUCAUCUAGUUUCACUGAAGCAUAAAAUGUCAGCUACAUUGUAAUGCAAUUAUGGGGAUAGUCUAGUCGUCAUCUUCUUCCAUAUCUGAUAAUUCUGCAUCCUCAUCAGAGUCAUUGUCACUCUCGGAUUCACUCACUACAUAUAUCUUUUGCGUACGAUUAGCCCUCUGAGGCCUUGCCAUUGCUNNN